AGCUUCUUCUUCUUCAAUGGAACGGAUCAGGUCACUUCCGCAUUCCUCAAUGACCAUGAGGUUGUGCCAUUCCAAUGUCCCUUCUUUGCUUCGUCUUUCUCCUCAAGCUGCUCGUUCAUCGUUUUCAUCGUCUUUUAGGUCACCCACAGGCUUUCGACGCUGCAUAGGUUCCAAGAGAUCUCCUAUCUUCAAGAUCAGGGCUUCCUUUUCUGAAGAGGAAACGUCUGAACCUGCUGAUCGCAUCAGAAAGGUAUUUUCCAAUGUAAAAGACACGUGGGAUGGACUUGAAA
rnacentral:misc_RNA from 1 species